rnacentral:rRNA from 2 species
UAGAGUUUGAUCAUGGCUCAGGACGAACGCUGGCGGCGUGCCUAAUACAUGCAAGUCGAGCGGAUCUUCAUUAGCUUGCUUUUGAAGAUCAGCGGCGGACGGGUGAGUAACACGUGGGCAACCUGCCUGUAAGACUGGGAUAACUUCGGGAAACCGGAGCUAAUACCGGAUAAUCCUUUCCCUCUCAUGAGGGAAAGCUGAAAGACGGUUUCGGCUGUCACUUACAGAUGGGCCCGCGGCGCAUUAGCUAGUUGGUGAGGUAACGGCUCACCAAGGCAACGAUGCGUAGCCGACCUGAGAGGGUGAUCGGCCACACUGGGACUGAGACACGGCCCAGGACUCCUACGGGAGGCAGCAGUAAGGGAAUCUUCCGCAAAUGGACGAAAGUCUGACGGAGCAACGCCGCGUGAACGAUGAAGGCUUUCGGGUCGUAAAGUUCUGUUGUCAGGGAAGAACAAGUACCGGAGUAACUGCCGGUACCUUGACGGUACCUGACCAGAAAGCCACGGCUAACUACGUGCCAGCAGCCGCGGUAAUACGUAGGUGGCAAGCGUUGUCCGGAAUUAUUGGGCGUAAAGCGCGCGCAGGCGGUUCCUUAAGUCUGAUGUGAAAGCCCCCGGCUCAACCGGGGAGGGUCAUUGGAAACUGGGGAACUUGAGUGCAGAAGAGGAGAGCGGAAUUCCACGUGUAGCGGUGAAAUGCGUAGAGAUGUGGAGGAACACCAGUGGCGAAGGCGGCUCUCUGGUCUGUAACUGACGCUGAGGCGCGAAAGCGUGGGGAGCGAACAGGAUUAGAUACCCUGGUAGUCCACGCCGUAAACGAUGAGUGCUAAGUGUUAGAGGGUUUCCGCCCUUUAGUGCUGCAGCAAACGCAUUAAGCACUCCGCCUGGGGAGUACGGCCGCAAGGCUGAAACUCAAAGGAAUUGACGGGGGCCCGCACAAGCGGUGGAGCAUGUGGUUUAAUUCGAAGCAACGCGAAGAACCUUACCAGGUCUUGACAUCCUCUGACAACCCUAGAGAUAGGGCGUUCCCCUUCGGGGGACAGAGUGACAGGUGGUGCAUGGUUGUCGUCAGCUCGUGUCGUGAGAUGUUGGGUUAAGUCCCGCAACGAGCGCAACCCUUGAUCUUAGUUGCCAGCAUUCAGUUGGGCACUCUAAGGUGACUGCCGGUGACAAACCGGAGGAAGGUGGGGAUGACGUC